rnacentral:lncRNA from 1 species
UUUGUUCCGAAUCCAAGUAGACCCAGGACCAGCCCACAGAGCGCGAGUGGGCAAGAUGAGUUUCAGCUGUGGUCUGUGCAGGGGGCCUUUAUCACUCUGCUGCACUCAUGCAUUCUGGCUAGCCUAAUCAUGUUGUGUGCACGGAUCAAACCAACCAAGCGGUCAAUGUCAACAACAAGACACACCACGCAACACCGCCACCACACACCGAACACGCCCCCCUCACCCACCCACCCAACCACCCACCACACACGCACACACAGACACACACACACACACACACACACACACACACACACACACACACACACACACACACACACACACCCAACCACCCACCACACACGCACACACAGACACACAGACACACACACACACCUCCGCGCCUGCUCUGCUGCUGCUGCCGCCCCCCGCCCCCCGCCCCCCGCCAGCUGCUCGCUGUACUACGCCUUCGUGCUGGUGGUGGGCAGCGACAACCUGCCCGCCGCAAACAACCUGGAGCGCGUGUUCUACAUUGUGAUGCUCAUGGUGGGCGCCGUGCUGUACGCACUCAUCAUGUCCAACAUGGUGAGUAGCGGAGCAGAGCGGUGGGGAAGGAAGAUGCGAUUUCCCUCGAUUAUGCGUUCUGGUGAUGUCAGUUGCGCCAUAACAUAAAUGAACACACAACACAGAUAAAUCUGUGCCAGCCGCAACGCAGUAUCUCCUCUCCACCCCGCCCCUGCCCCCCUUCCAAACGUCCUUGCAAGCCCCCCUAACCCCCUCCUCUCCCUCCCGGGAUUGGUUCAAAGUUAACCCCCUAACCCCCUCCUCUCCCUCCCGGGAUUGGUUCAAAGUUAACCCCCUAACCCCCUCCUCUCCCUCCCCUCCCCCCUCUUUUCAUCGGGCUCGGGCGCUCUCCUGGUCGCUCUUUUGCAUCUGUUUCGUUCGGGCUGGUAUCCACAAACCCCCCUCCUCCUCCCCCUCGCCCCGCCUUUCCCAGGCUGUGCUGGCCACCAACCUCAACAGCCUGGCCAGCCGCUACAGGACCAAGGCGGCGCUCGUGGCGGACGCCCUGAGAUACGUGGGCGCGCCGCCAGAGGUGGGUGCGGUGGCGGGGCGGAGGGAGGGAAGAGCGAGGGAGAGGAGGGAGAGGAGCGAGGAAGAGGAGGGGGAGGAGGGGGAGGAGGGGGGAGGAGGGGGGAGGAGGGGGGAGGAGGGGGGAGGAGGGGGAGGAGGGGGAGGAGGGGGAGGAGGGGCGAGGGAGGAGGGGCGAGGGAGGAAGGCUGUCAGUGCAGUGAGGGCUUGCCUGCCUCGAGCUUACAGCAUAACGGUAGAUAGCAUGGGUGAUACGAGGCACUGCCUGCCCAUCCCCAUGCCCCCAACCCCUGCACAUCCCCAUGCCCCCACCCGCGCCUUCAUGUAUGUCAACCCCCCUGCCGUACGCCUCCGCCCACAGUUCAGCGCCCGUGUGGCCCAGCACUACGAUUUCCUCACACAGCACGACCACCCCGGUGAGAGCCGUCGCGUGCGUGCGCACACAUAUGCGUGCUGUGUUCCCUUGUGUACGCACGCACACAUACACACAUACACACACAUCCGUAAACCGUCGCUUUGCUGCAUCGCAUACACUGUCUUUGCGCAACGUUCUCCUUGUGCUCUUUAACACACAUACACACAUACACACACAUACACAUAUGUACACACACACACAUGCACGCACACGGACGCGCGCGGGCUCCGAUUUGUUUCCUCAGUACCCUCCUUCCAUAGACAGAUAUCCCUGCACUCACCCACACCCUCCAACCCCCACACCCUCCCCAACCACAGGCCCCGAGGCCGACGCCUUCCUGGCCACCGAGCUGCCUGCUGGCCUGGUGACCGACACCCGCUGGGCGCUGUACGCGGCGGCGUGGGCGCGACUGCCGCUGUUCGGCGGCUGCUGCGAGCCCUUCAUGGCGGCGCUGCAGGUGGGGGUGGGGGUGGGGGCGGGGGGGGAGUGGACCGUUGUGCGUUUGGUGAAAGAAUCCAUUUUCAAAUACGCACAUACACGCACACACACACACACACACACACACACACACACACACACACACACACACACACACACACAAACACACGCACACACGCGCGCACACACACACACACACACACACACACACACGCCACACACACACAAACACACGCCCUCCACCACAGGCCCGCCUGACGCUGCUUGCCUUCACGCCCGGGGAGGUCAUCUACCGGGCGGGCGAGGCGGGUAGUCACAUGUACCUGGUGCGGCAGGUGGGUGGGCGGGUGGGGGGGGGCGUGUGUGUGUGUUGAUGUGUGUGUGUGUUGAUGUGUGUGUGUGUGUGUGUGUGUGUGUGUGUGGAUGUAUGCGUGUGUGUGCGUGCGUGUGUGUGUGUGUGUGUGUGUGUGUGUGUGUGUAUGUGCAGUCGUGGGGUGGAACGAUGUGCCCGGUUGCGGAGUUUUACCAGAACGGUGAUGGCGCAUGUCAGCUGUCGGGCGACACACACACACUCGUACAACCACCGCCGCCGCCACAGGGCCACGUGCUGCUGGUCUCCCCCGACACCCCCAACUCCUUCAACAGCAGCCCCGGCCUCGGCUCCGGCCACACGCGCAGCGACAGCGACAGUGGCGGCGGCGGCGGCGGCGGCGGCGGCGGCGGCGGCGGCGGCGGCGGCGGCGGCGGCGGCGGCGGCGGCGGCGGCGGGUUGGCGGAGGUGGUGCGGCCGGGCGAGGCCUUUGGGCAGCUGGCGCUGUUGCCUGAUCUGGCGGGUCGGCGGCGGCGGUACACGGCUGUGGCGGGGCGGGCCUCGGAGCUGGUGGCGCUGGCGGGUCGGGACCUGGCGGCGGCGUGCCGCGACCACCCCGAGUGCGGGGCGCUGGUGCAGGUAGGGGCGGGUGGGGGAGAGGGGGCGUGGGUGGGGUUUGUGUGUGGGUGGGUGGGGGGGGGGGGUUGCGGUGUUAAGGCAGUGGAUAGGCGUGGGAGGGAGUUGUAAAUACCAGCUCAAACUAAACCAAACCGAGCUAAGCUAGCGGGGGUGAGGGGGGACUCACAAAUGCGCGUCUUCUUUGGCAUGCAUGUGCACACACGUGCCGUACACGCACGUCCACUCACACAGACACACACACACACACACACACACACACACACACACACACACACACACACACACACACGUAUGUAUGCACACACGGCCACAGGAGCGGCUGAUGCAGCAGCUGGAGGACGUGGUGUACGGCACGCACUGGUGCUGGUUCAUUGAAAAGGUAGGUGCGAGGGGAUGAGAGGAGGGGGAGGGAAAAGGUGGGGAGGGAAGAGAAAAGGAGGGAGGGGCGAGCGAAGCGCGCCAACGUUGGAGGAAUGCAACCCGACGGAGCAUCAAUGGUUGCGGUGCGCAUAGGCAAACACGCGAGGUGCGGCGGCUGGGGGAUGUCAGUCAUUGCGUAACUUCGCUUCUAUCUGAGUCCAAAACCCAUAGCCGUAACCCGCCGCCCAAACAUGGCUGGUUGGCUGCAGGUGCUGGUGCCGUACCAGCUGUACGGCGACGUAACCGAGCGGAAGGAGCUGUACGGCAACGGCGGCGGCGGCGGCAGUUCCAACGGCCCCAACCACCGCAACCACCACGUCCACAGAUCGCAGCAGUCCAUAACCGCCUGGCAGCGCACGGCGGCGGUUGAGGCGGUUGAGACCGUUGAGGCAGUGGGUAGCAGCACUGGCGCCGACGGAUCCAGCUCGCCCGGCGGCGCUGCAACCGCUGCCAUGUCACUCCAACCGACACUGUUGCGGCAGCCGUCGGUUGGGGCGGUUGGGGCGGUUGGGGCGGUUCUGGUCAAGAGCGGGUCAACGCGGGCAGUCGCCUUUGCGCCAGACACCGCCGGCGGUAGCGCCAGCACUUCUGCCAGUGGCGUCCAGCCGCCGCCGCCACUGCCGCUGCCGCUGCCGCUGCCGCUGCCUGGGCCACCCCCUCAUCCAGAAGUGGCGUCUCAAGGCGAUACAGCUGGAAGCGGCGGCGGCGGCGGCGGCGGCGGCGGCGGCGGCCGGUCCCCAACGCAGCGCCCCCAGAUGGCGGCGGCGGCGGCGGCGGGCGCGGCGCCUGCGGCCCUGGAUAUGUCCUGGAGUGGCAACGAGGACUGGCUGGAGCAGCAGCCGCGGCAGCACUCGGCGGCGGCGGCGGCGGCUAGCUUGGCGGCGCUGGCAUCCGGCAGUGUCACCGCCGCCGCCGCCGUCGGCGCCACCGGAACCCCAAAGGCCGUGGAUGAGUUCGGCCUUUUGGAUUCCAACAACAGCGACAUUGACCUCUUCGCAUCCAACGCCUCGGCAGCGGCCGCCUCGAAGGCGCCUGGUCUGGUCCUGCCGCCGGCGGUGCUUGAUUCGCUCUCCGGCUACGGCGGUGCCGCCGCCGCCGCCGCCGCCGCCGCCGCCGCCGCCGCCAUUGCCGCCGCUGCCGCCAGUGCAGGCAGCAAUGCGGGCAGUAGCCGGGCCGACAGCAGCAGCGGGCAGCCGGGCGAGGACCUGAUGGACACAGCCACUUUCCUGUCGCUACUGCCGCCCUCGAGACAGCCCUCCGCGCAGCGCCUGCUGCGCAUGACCUCACGACAGGCUGGCAACGGCGACGGCGCGGCACCGGGCGUUGGCGGUGGCGGCGGCGGCGGGACGCAGUCGGGGGCCGCCGCCGCCGCCGCCGCCGCCGCCUCGCUGCUGUCGCUCGUGCCGCUCUCACGCCAGGCCUCAGCGGCACGGCUGCUACAGCGGCGUAGCAGCAGCCGCAACCGCAAUCACACUGGCGGCGGCGCCGCCGCCGCCGCCGCCACCGCCGGCGGCGCUAACGGCCAACUGCUCGACAGCAUAUCUGACCUGGUGGAGAGCCUGAUGGAUGUUUUGCCGCCGUCGGCGCCACACGGCCUGUCGCGGAUGCGCGUCCUGAGUCGCGGUCGCAAUGGCGAAGCGGCGGCGUAUGUGGAUGGCGGCAUUGUCGUUGCCGCUGCCGGUAUUGAGCAAAGCAACCUUUCGGCGUCUAUGGCCGCCACGGCGGCUGCAGCGACGGCGGCGCUGGACGCCCCCGAACCACCAGAGCCGCCGCCGGCGCAAACCACGCCACGGCGGGCGCCGCGCCGUGGCGCAUCGCGCCUUGCUCCCGGCUGGUCGGCCUUCGCUGCGCCCGGAGCGCGGGAGGAAGACCUGGAGGGGGCGGACGGCAUCAGUGCUACAGCCGCCGCCGCCAUUGCCGGAAACAUCAGUGCGCUGCUACAGCCACACCUUAGCGGCGCCGGCGCCGCCGCGGCGCCAACGCUACUACUGCGCCGCACCCGCUCGCGCUUUUUCGGCAGUGAUGGAGGCUCGAUCACCGGCGGCGCAGCUAUAGCCGCCGCCGCCGCCGCCGCUACAGCCGCCUCGGCAAACCCAGGCACUCUUGGAUCGCAGCAGAGCAUCAAGGACCUGGAGGCCAAAGUGAGUGCAAGCGGUGCCGGCGGCAACAGGGAGCUGGGGAGACCGCUCCACCACUCGAGUGGAAGCGCGUUGCGGCUGCUGCCCCUGCAGCCGGCUGUAGGACACACAGCACAUGCGGCGGUAGCGGCUACAGCCGUCGCCGCCGGGGCUGCGGCGGCGGCGGCUACAGCCGACACCGGCGGCGGCGUGUGGCAAGCCUCUGCCUCAUCGCCGCGGACGCGUGCGCGGCGCCGCAGCAGCGAGAGCAGCGCGGGCGGCGGCCGCGGGGCGGGCGGCGGCAUAUCGUCAACGCGCAGCAGCCUGGACCUUGGCGCACCGCCGCCGGCCAAGCCCUAUCGAAACAGUGGCGAAUUCGCGGCCGCCGGUCUUGCCGCUUCGCGCCUGGAGCCGGCGGCGCAGCUGCAGAUGGCGGUGGGUGUGCUGGCACGGAUGCUGGGGGCCGGCGACGCCGCCGCCGCCGCAGCGGCGGGCGCCGCCGCCGCCGCGGUUGCGGCGGUCACUGCUGAGACCGCAUCCGGCGCUGCUGCAACCCAAAGGAAGCGCUCAGGCACUGGAUAUGACAGCAGCAGCGCAGCACGUGCGCUGCUGCUGUCGCCGGCGGCUUCCGUACACGCUGCUGCUACUGCCCCUGCUGCUACUGCCCCUGCUGCUGCUGCCGCUGCUGCUACUGCCCCGGUGGAGGCGACUGCCGUGGAUCCUGUGAUGCCGCCGCCAACGCAGCAGCUGGACGCGAUGAACGGCUCACCGCUGCUGGCGGCGCUGCUGAGUCAGCAGGGCAGCCGCCAGCUGCUGCUGUCCAUAGCCGACGCGGUGGUGAGGCGUGAGGGCGCCGCGGGCGUGCCGGCCGUUGCGGAGGCGCUUGCGGGCGCCGCCGCAGCCGCCGCAGCGGCAACGGCGGCUGCGCGGCAGGCGGCGGCUGCGGAGGCGGAGGCGGCGGUGCGGGUGCUGCUGACGUCAGUGGCUGGUGGGGUUGAGCAGGUGGAGCACACGGUGAGCUAGCCUGGAAUACCGGCGGUGGGGGUUUCGACCAAGUUACAGUCACUGGAUUUUGAGGGGGGCGACCGAGGGCAUGUGGGCUUGUGCGAGAUUGCUAACUCCCUUGAACUGGUUGUCGUACGGCAGGUGGUUGGCCUGGAGGAAUCCGUACGCGCCGCCAACCGCCGCCUGGCGACACUGGAGCGCGACGCGGCGGCGGCGCAGGGCCAAGGCAUCCUGGCGGCGGGCCUGGCGGAGGCGCUGACGCGCGCCGGCAGCAACGUCGACGGCGGCGGCGGCGGCGGUGCUUGUGAUGGCGGCGGCGGCAGCGGCGGCGGCGGCGCUACUGACGGCGAUGGCGGCGGUGACGCCGCCGUCAGCGGCAGUGACGACGACGAUGACGCCACCGGGCUUGUGAAGCAGCUUCGCGCCUGCGUCGCCAGCCUUGGAGCCGGCGGAGGCGCCGCUGCCGGAGGCGCCGUCGGCGGCGGCGGUUGGGCAUCGGACCUCGAAAGUGCAACCGACGCCAGCUGGCUUGCGGCGGAGGGUGCGUGGCCACUGCCGCCGCCGCCGCUUGCGCACGGCGGCGGCGGCGGCGGCGGCGGCGGCGGCGGAGGCGGCGGAGGCGGCGGAGGCGCCGCUGGCGGCAGCUCGCGGAGGUCACUCAACGUGUCGGGCUGGGUGGCGGGAUCAAAUGGCAGCGCCGGCGGCGGCAACACGCGCGGCAGCGGCAGGGGCAGCGGCAGGGGCAGCGGCAGGGGCAGCGGCACCGGCCUUCCUUUCGUGGGGUCAGCGACGGGGCUGUUGGAUGAAUCGACUGGCGGGCGCGACGGCGGCGGUGCCCAGAACAAUCGUCGCUCAAUUGAGAUGCUGGCGGCGGCGAUUUUCAGCAACCAGCACGGCACGCCGCCAACGAUCAGGACUGGUGGCGGGGGCGCCGGGUCGCUGGCACGCACCGCCAGCGUUGGCGACGGAAGCACGUCACCCCGGGCGUCCGCGGCGCUGACGCCAAUGCGGCGGCGGAUGUCUCGGAUGGCGACCAGUGCCCCCACGUCCGCGGCGACACCGCUGCCUGCAGGUUUCGAGAGCAGUGGCGGCGGCGGCGGCGCCGCCGCCAGUCGUGCCGCCAGCCGCGCCGUCAGCCGUGUGCCGAGCCGCAUCAGCCGUGCCUCCCGCCGUACCACCAUGCACAGCAGUCACGGCGAAGACGGUGACGGUGAUGGGGACGAGCUGCUGCUUAGUAAUCAGGACGCCGGGCCGUUCCGCCGCCGCUCCACGGAAAGCGCGGCGGCGCUGUCGCACGCGCUGUCCGGCGUUGUGGAGGCGCUACCCCUUAGCCACAACCGCAGCCGUACUUCCAGCCUGUACGGCGACCCCGCCGUGCCGUACGGUGCCAUGCCGUACGGUGUCGUGCCGUACGGUGCCGCCAGCACCUCCCGGCGCCGGUCUCUGGAUGCGUCCGGCUUUGUGGAGCACUUCUUCCAACCUCAGCAGCACCCACAGCAGUGGCCCUACAUCAGCAGUGCCGGCGGUCACGUCGACGGCGCCGCGGGUGGCGAGCACCUGUCCGCCGACGGCGGCGAACUAGGGGCGCUGCUCCAGGCGGCCAUCGGCGGCAGCAUUGGCGGAGAGGCGCCGGCUGGCGCCGACGGCGGCCCCAAGCACGGGACAGCGACAUCCCGCGAGCGCCGCCGCUCGCGUGCCGUCAUCGGCGACGGCGCCGCGGGCGCCGCUGCUGGUGGCAACGGCGGCGACGGCGCAGCGGUGGCGGUGCUGCCUGGCGCAGAUCCCUUCUCUCCCGUGGGCCCGCGCUCCCGCCGAGCCUCGCUGCUGCUGAUGCAGGCGGCGAUGCAGACGGACGGCGCUGGUGGCGUUACCAUCGCGCCGGGCUCCCCUGCUGCCGCCGGCGCCGCCGGGUUGGGUGUGUUGCCGCGACGCGCGCCGGUCAUCGCCGUGUUGGAUGACUCAGUCGUGGCGGGCGCCGGCAGUGGUGGCGGCGGCGCCGGAGCACGCGGCGGCGUCGCGCCAUCGGAGCGGCCCGGCGCCCGCCGCGCCGCCGGGGCCGGCGGCGCCGCCUCCGGCUACAGCCGCAGUCGCACCGCAGCCACUGAAGGGGUACUGGGGGCGCCGCCAGGGGCCAUGGCGCUCAGCCCAUCGGCGUCGAGUGCGACAGCCAGCAGCGGCGGCGGCUUCAGUGGCUCGCAGUACCGCCGCGCCAGCACCUCCUUGCUACUGCCAUCCGGCGGAGGCGCUGGCAGCAUUGGCAACAUCAGCAACCUCAGUGCGCUUGCCGCCGCGAUCAUGGGCCCUGGUAGUGGCCGCGGCGGCAGCGGCAGCGGCGGCAACCGCACGGCCCCCGCCGCCGGCGCCGACAACGGCGCACCCGGCUCGCCACCUCGGCAGAGCCAAGCCGCCAGCCGCUUAGGCUCGGUGCUACUGCCGCCAGAGGUGUCGUACUACGGCACUGCAGCUGGCAGUAGCAAGGCCGCCAGCCGCCGCAGUAGCCGCGCGUCUGGUGGGGGCGGGCCGGUUGAUGCGGUGGCGAGUGGCGCUGCAACGUCACGUGAAGAGGAUGACGAUGAGGGAGCGGGGGAGCGGGACGAGGGACCGCAGACAGGUGGUGAGGUGGGACAGGAGGCGGCGGUGGUGUAGCAUCAGUUGCUGCUGCGGCGACGGCUGCUCUGACGGCAGCUACAGCUGCAUCUACGGUCACGGGUGGCAGCGAUGAGGCCGUGGGACCACCGCCCCCCGACGGUGCAAGUGAGGCUGGCGCGGCUUGCGGUGGCCUGUUUUCCAGUCUGUUUCGGCGUUCCAAAAGCAGUGGGGGGCGGGUUGUGAGGUAUACGGCAGCACAUGCCGUUUCUCAGCGGUCGCAACUGAAAGUUCAACGUCGCAGCUUUGGGUUCCCCCGGGGGCGCCGUGGCUUCUUUCAUGGUGGGUAUUCAUGCAUUCUUGAAGGCAAUCGCAAGGUCCCAAGUGCUUGAAUUUAAGAACACGAGUGGCAAUGGACCGCAUCGGUCAAACGGACUGGACUGGGGUAACGUUGUCCAGGCUUUUGGGUCCUCCUGCGCACAAACGCAGCAAGGGAACGGGAGAUUCGGACGCGUGGGUCUGGGACGGUGCCGGCGGGGUGCCUGCAGGCAUGCAGGCUGCGACAGCGGUAUUGCAAGCGUUUGUUGCGAGUACAUGUGUAGUGAUGUGUAGUGAGCACGCACUGGUACGCAUGGAUGGAUUGCAACUGGGUCAUGCGGCUGUCCUUGCUUCGAUAUCGUCAUCCUUACCAGUCGAAGAUUGAUUGAUGUUUUAUGGGUUGCCUGGGGGUUUACUGAGCAUAGGUGUCUUGCUGGAUAUACAUGCCCACUUACUUAUCGCCUGCUAUUGAGUUUCUCGAUUGGCCGGUGACAAAGCAAAGUAAAUGCGGCCGGUUGACAUCUCGCAACGUACCGUGCACUAUCACUGCUUUCCCGGUGCGAACAUGCCGACAAACCGAGUGAAGAGUGCCAAGGUCCCGCGUGCCUUGGCGAGGCCUGGCUUGCCAGCUUCUGAGUCAAGUCUAAAGUGAUUGGUUGUUUUCACCAUUUCCAUUAAUGGAAGACCGGAACUAUGGCAGCACAGCAGCAAUUGCGCACCAUCUACACCUGGGGGGGGGGGGGGCACAUGUAUCAGGGCUGCACAGUGCACACCCGGCGUGCAUCACCGGCAGAAUCAAUGCAUCUCGACGUGACUGAUGCAAUCGGGGUGUAUGACUGUGUGCACGCAAUGCGCGUAUGGGUUUGGAGCAUACAGCGAGUGCGUGCUGAUGUGCUUGAGAGCACGAGGAAUAAGGGCACGAACGGCAGUAUUUGCGUGCGUGUGCGUGGAGGGUAACUGGCGCAUGUGUCUCUGGCAAAGAGUUGUAUGACAUGCGAGAUUGAGAUAGGGAGAUGCUGAGAUGUCUUUGUGGAGAGAGGCGAUUUGCUUUGAGGUGGGCCACGUUUAGUGUGGUAGGAUGGUCGUGGGCAAGCGGAGCAUAUCGUAUGGUGGUGAUUGAGUUUUCAAGUCUUUCUGUCAUCCUUUCCUGCUUCGCCUGUGGGACGUGUCAGGGCACGGUGGUGGUGCCGAGGAAGCGUGGAGAAGCGUGGAAUACAGAAAAGUUGGAGGGGCGGGCAGGGGCGAGGCAGUGCGCGUGCUACGCGUGACAGCAUGACUGAUUUGUGCGGUCAUGGGCAGUUGUUUUAAUGCUUUGGUGCGGCGGCUCCAAGUCCUCCAACACUUUACAAUUCACCUGCCCGUGUACCCGACUCCUGCGUUUUUUUUGCGAAAACCGCCCGGCGCCCCUGGACCUACCUAACGUCCUAACCAGGAGGUGAAGGGCCAAACCGUGGGGCCACGGCCUGCCCUGCCCCGAUCCCGAAACCUGCCCCUAGUCAGCCCCGUACCCCACCACCUGCUUUGCUUAUGAUCUUGCCCCUUUCCUGCCCACCACCUGCAGUUUGGCAGCAGGGGCUGAUGGCUUGGCGAGGCUUGGCGAGCAACUCUCGCAGGGCGGCACAACCUGCAGCCGUGCCCACGCGCCCCGACACAGAAGGACCACAAACAGCUUCGACCAUAGCUUCUAUGUCACAAUACACAGCUACUUGCGCGUCCAGGCAAAAGACAAACACGGCAGUUGCUUCAUUACCAUCGGGGCGUUGAGCAGUACAAUCAAAUCGCAGCGAGUAUGGCGCUGUCUUGUAUGAAAAUGCUUUUGUAUGAAACGCACUACAUGUGUAUGUAGAUGGCAGCGCCGCUGCGCCAAGUUCGGACCGCGUUUGGCAAGAAAUGUUUGCAAGGUCGCUCAGGGCAAUUUUAUGGUAGUUAAAAUCUGACCCAGCAGAUGAUUUUGCAUCGAGCUUUUGGACAGAAGCUCUUUUUCGCGAUAACGACAGUCUUCCCAGUGCUGGCACUGCCGAGAGGCGGCAGGAGGCAUCGCGCGACUCAUCUGAUGCACCACAUGUGCCACUGAAAAGGUACGCAACAGCAGAAGCGUAUGGAAGCUGACGGCUCACAUCCUGGCGCCAAACGCGAGCACUGCGAUUCUGUCUACCCAGCUUGUGGAAGCGUAACAAAAUGAGUUCAAGUACAUAGUGGACUGGGCCCGGAAGGUUCGUCCGGCCACCGGCUUGCGCGCAAGCGAGCGCUACUUGGCAGAGAAACAUUGCCAUAUACCCUUGACAUGAGCCGUUCUACUGUAAAAAACCGUUUUCGCUAUUAGGUUGGAGGCUAGCUCCUUCGUCGGCUCCGCGAGCUCGGACGCCGGCUUGCGCGACGUGCCACGUAGCGGGGCAAGUCUCAGAGCUCCUAACGCGCUUCAGCCUGCCCUGUAUGGUUUGAAGCACAUACGCUUAAUAUGACGGACAGCAGCAGUCGAUGUGCGACCAACCGUGUUGCAAGUUGCGCCGCUCUGCGGGCCCUUCCCCUCCAUUGCCUGGUUGUAAAUGCUCCUCGCUUCGACGGCCGCGCCCUCACAGAUACAUGAAUGAGCCUACCUCCUCAACGGCUGCUGGCAUGCUGGCCGCGGAGGCUCCUGCAGCGGAGACGGCCGCUGUGGCGCAGGUGCGGCGUAAGCAGCGUGGGGAAAGCGGUGUAGGGCGAGGUGUGGCUUGGGAGAAGGAAGAUGCCGCGUGCCGCAACAGCUGCGUGCAGGGUACGUGUGCUGCUGGCUGCAUGCGCAAUGGGUUGCUGCAUUGAGCAGCCCAUGGCUUCCAUCACCUCACGUCCACCCUGCUGAACAUGUGCUGACGGGUGGGUCGAAGGGCCCUUCAACACACGCUCCACUCCGCUCGACCACCCACGCUCCACCCCCAAUCCACCCACACCAACCCCACGCCACCCUACUCACCCCCACGCCACCCAUCCCCCAAACCCCCAACCCCACAGCUGGACGGCCUCCAGCUCAUUGCUGCGGGCGCCGCCUCCCGCAGCCUGGUGUUCCGGGGCACAAGCGGCGGCCGCCGCGUGUGCGUCAAGUACAGCGCCGCACGGGAGGCGGAGGGCCUGGCGGCGCCCGCAGCCGCGGGGCUGUUGGGCCCGGUGCUGAUCCACCCCCACGUGAUCCGCACCUUUGGCUGGCACAUCACGCGCCUCACGGAUGCGGAUUUCCAGGAGUCUUCAAAGCUCGCUGGCGAGGCCGGGGCGGCGGCUGGCGCUGGCGCUGGGGCGGGGGCGGGGGCGGGGGCGGCUGGCGCUGGCGCUAGCGCGGGGGCGGCUGGGGCUGGCGCUAGCGCGGGGGCGGCACAGCCCGACAUAGAGGACCGGUUGAGACAGCCUCAGCAGCUGUUGCCGCAUGAACCACAGCUGCAGCAGCAGCCCGGUGCAGGUGAUGCGGAGGAGGCGCGGUCUGCGCCGCCACUGCGCGGCCGCAGGGGCCGGGGUCUGCUAGCGGCGCUCUGUUUCUGUCUGGAGCCCAGCCAACUCCCUGACCAGGAACAAGAGGCUGAGGCGAACACCCGCCGUCUCCAAGCAGCGGCGGCCGCGGCCGCGGCCGCUGCGCACCCGGACGACGCCAACAGCCACGACGGUGCCAGCGGCGUCGGGUCUGGCGAGGGCGGCGCGGCUGAGCUGGACGGCUGCCCGCCGGCCGCGCUGGAGGCGGGCUGGGGGCGGCUGCGCGCCAUCUUGCGGCGCCUGGACGCGCGGCCCGGCGACUACCUCACCCGCAUUGUGAUGGAGGACGCAGACCUGGGCUCUCUGGCGGGAGCCAUACGCAACACCACAGCCGCCACAACCGCCACAGGCGGCGCGGCCGCACCCGCUGGCGCCGCGCCCAGUGGAAGCUUGGGAGCAACAGUGGGAGGUGGUGGUAGCGCAGGCGGAGGUGGCGGCGGCGGCGGUGUCUCCGUGGGUAUGGUGCGGCGCAGCGCCACCGGUGGUGCUGCGGGCAUGGCCCCCGGCACGCCUCGCUCCUCGUUUUCGAUGGCGCUGCUGCAAAUGUCAUCGGCGUCCUUCCAGCUCCCGCACUCGCACUCGCAGCAGCUGAGCCGGGCGCUUCCAGGGCCGUUGUUCUGCGGCGACGCCGACGGCGGCGAGGGGCUGCAGUGGCUGCUGAUGACGGCGCUGGACAUCGCCGCAGGCAUGCUGCACCUGCACUCACACCAAGUCAUUCACGGUACGGAGGAGGUGGUGGCAAGACAGGACUGCUCGCUAGCGGUAGAUACAUCGAGGUUGCGCCCUCUUUGGGGAGGGCCGUGCGUGGGCUAAGGGAUGGGCUAUGGGGUGGGCUUUGGGGUGGGCCUUGGUUGGGCCUUGGGUCGGCUUUGGGUGUGCCUGGGGGGCUUGGAGGUGCUCCGAGGGCCGCCGGGGUUGGGCUGCUGCGAACCGAGCAACAAACACGUGCCCGCGCGCUCUCCCGCUCAGCCCCUCCCAUCAACCUGCUUGGCUCCCGGUGUCGGUGUCCCUGCCAGGUGACCUCAAGCCCGGCAAUGUGCUACUUGUGAGCGACCCGCAUGACGUGCGCGGCUUUGUGGCCAAGGUGCGUGCAGCUGCGUACAUUACGACCUUAUGGGUAGUUGCGCUGGUGUGCCCGUAUGUAUGUUUAGAAGAGCCCGCCUCGAAACGCAUCUAUAAGUUCAGCCAUGAGUACCGCUCCAAGCGCCCUGCGCAGCCCGCGCUUUUUUCCCGUCUGGCCCCGCUGCCCACGCUGCCUCAUCCUAACACCAUUGUACGCCCAUACCCCGCGCCCAUAAACCCCAAAACUCCAUCCAAACAGAUCACUGAUUUCGGUCUGUCGCGGUUGGUGGGCCACGAACCCUCCCUGGACAACCACGACCUUUACGGCACGGUGAGCGAAUGCCCCUAUGCCCUCUUUGUGCUCUUACACAUGUCACGCUGGGUUUUCAUCAGGUGGAUUGCUGGCGUGCCUGCGGCCGUUAUGGGUCGCUUGUCAUUGCGCGCUGCUGCAAAUGCGCCGUUCGGCUGCACGCAUGCACACAACAACAACUGUAACAGCACACAUGCACAUGCACAUGCGCACACGUGCAGGUGCGCUACAUGGCCCCCGAGGUCAUUGACGGCCGCAGCUACAAGUCCAGCGACGUGUGGAGCUACGGCGUGGUGGUGUGGCAGAUGGUGACAGGCGAGGUGCCCUGGCCCGGCCUGCGCAGCAUGCAGGUCAUGAUGGGCGUCCUGCAUGUGAGUCCGCAUGAACACAUACAUGCACCUGCAUGCAAACAUGCACGUGCAUGUGCACUUGACGGGCCGCGUUACGCGUGCGGCAAUCCGGCGUUGCUCCGGUGGUGAUCGUGCAGUGCGUACCACUCCACAGACUUUCUGUGCGGGCGGUGACAAUGGCGCGCCUCCAGAUGCCGCGAUUGCCUUCACCCCUGUGCCGCAUUUCCUUUCAAACGCCUGACACGUACGGAAUAUGCGUGUGUCUGACGCACGCGCUGCCGCUGCAGGGCGAGCUGCGCCUGUCGCUGCCGCCGCGCACGCACCCGCGUCUGGCGGCGCUGCUGGAGGCGUGCCUGGACCACGACCACAGCCGGCGGCCGGGCUUUGACGAAGUAGCCUGGCAGCUGCAGGUGCGGUGGCGGCAGUGGUAUGUUGCUGCUGAGGGGCGGUGGCAUGGGCGGUGGGUGGGUGGGUGGUGGGAUGAGGUGCGAUUGCAAUAACGAUUGCGGUUGCGAGUGUACAGAGCUAGAGUGAGUGCAACGCUCGCAAAGGCUGCGCGUGCUCACGUGUCUGCGCAACACGCCUCGACCUCACGUGUCCAUGCCAUCCCCGCUUCCGUGCACGAACAGGAAAUGCUGUUGAUGCACGACAUCGCAGUGCUCGGCCCGGGGCCCCUGCUGUCGUUGCCGGCAGGAGAGCUGCCCGGAGAGGCCGGCGACGAGGGCGCAGGCUUCGCCACCGCCACCACCUCCACCACCACCACCACCGGCGCCGCCGCCGCCGCCACCGCCUUGGGCGGGAGGGCUCCACAUGAAGUUGCGGCCACCGUCGAGACUGGUGCUGAUGCAGCUUCCGUGGAGGCAGGCGCCCUCGGGCCGCUGCCUGCACUGCCACCGGCACCGCCGCACCUGCGCCCGCCAGCCUCCGCGCCCCAUGACAGCCCAUGGCUGCGUCUGGCGCCCGCCGCGCCGCCCGUGCCCGCACUGCAGGCCGGUGGCGCAGGUGACGCCGCCGCCGCCUCGCACAGCACGCUGGACGUGGAUGCCGAGGUGCUCGCCGCCGGCGGCGUGCCGGGAUCCACCGCCGUAACCACGGCGGCUACUGGCACCGGCAAUCUCGUCAGCGCGGCGUCAGCUUCUGCUUACAUUGGCGGAGCCAGCGGCAUCUCCGCCGCCAACACGCCCAUAUCGUCGGCGGCGCCGCCAGGCGCUGCCGGCACAGCUUCAAUUCAUGCCGCAAUCCGCGGCGGCGCCAUCCAAACGGGUCCGGUGUCGGCUGACGCCGCCGCCGCGCCGCCGCCGCGCUUGUCGACGGCGCUGGACGCCUCAACUCCGGGCAUGGCCAGCGCCGCCUCUGCAGCUGCAGCCGCCAGGGGCGCCCGCAGCUGCAUCCACGCGUACCAGAGCCAGACGGCGUCGAGCGUGGCGGGCGAGGGCUCGCUGUCGAGUGGCCUGUACGCCUUCGUCAACAUGUUUGCGCGCGAGCUCGCACCGCUACCGCCGCCGGCCACUGCGACAGCCACAGCAGCCACUGCAGCCACUACGGCAGGCGAUGCCGCCGCAGAGGAGCGGCUGCGCUCGCUGGCUGCCUCAGCCGCCCGCGGCGCCCGCGGCUUUGGGGAGGGCCCGGCGCCGCCGAGUGGAUCCUACGCGAUGGACGCCGUCCUGUCCGUCCCACACAGCAGCGGCCCCGGAAGCCGCAGAGCAUCUGCGCACGGUGCCGCGCGGCCGCGGACCGCCACCGGUGUCACUGCCGUCGCGGGCAGCGCCGCCGGGGCUGACGUCACUACAGCGUCGCAGCUGGUGACUGCGGCGGGGGGUCGCGGCCGCGGCGCCCGGGGCUUGUUGUUCGUGGAUUCAGUGCGAGGCGGCGGUGGCGGCGGCGGCAGCGAGGGACGAUCACAGCCGUUCUUCCUGUCUGGUGCGUCUGCGUUCCUAGACGUCCUGCGCAGCCCCAGCCGCAGCCGCCGCGGCGGCGCCGGCGGUGCGGGCCCUGCAGCCGCUGGUUCGCCGGCGCGCACCGGCAGUGCCAGCGGCGCGCCGGGCGGCAUGUCGGUGGCCGCAGCGGCCGCCGCAGCCGCCAGUUCGCCCUCCACAGGCCCGUCUAGCAACAACACCGCAGCGCCAGCCGCACCGGCGCUGGCGCCAACAGCAUCCGCAUCCGCGGCCGGCACUGGUGCUAUGGCCGGCAGCGUUGCCGAGCUGCUGCGCCACGCGGUGCGCGCCAGUCCGCUGCAGCCGCUGCCGCAGCGGCGGACGCACCCGUCCUUGCCGCCAGCCGCUGCCGCCGCCGCCACGGGCCGCACCUCUCGCGACGUGCCGCCCCACCCCGUGCUGCGCGACCUGUACCCCCAGCCGCACCCCGCCCCCGCCGACGGCUCCGGCGCCGUUGCAGUCGACGGCAGCAGCGCAACCGCCUCCCUGACCUGGGACAGCUUGUCACCCUCGCUCCUUGCAGCCUACCUGCCGCAGCCACAACCGCACCCGUACACAAACCAGCACCCGCUGCAACCCUUCGCCGCCGCCGCCAUGCGCCCCCCCUCCGGCGCCGCCUUCCCAGCCUACAUGGGCCCCUCGGCCGCGUCGCUGGCGGCGGCAGGCGGCGCUGGCGGCGGCGGCCGCGCCACCUCUGACGUGGACACAGCCGCAGUGCGGCUGAUGCUCGCGUCCUCGGAGCGCGGCAGUGCCUUUGCCGCGCUGGCCACCGCCGGGCCUCGCGCCGGCCAGGCGCCCCUCUUCCCGCCGAGCCGCGUGCGUGAAGACGGCGGUGCAGCAGCCGGCGGAGGCGCGCCCGCCGCUCGCGCGGCCACCUCUGCGUUCGGCGGCGCUGGGAGCGGCAUUCUCAGCACUGCGGGCAGUGGCGCCAUGCCGCCGGCUGCAGCCGCGGCGUCCGGUUCGGCCUCCGGUUGGAUCGGUACUCCCGCGAGUGGUGCCGCGGCAGGUGCGGGCCGGCCCGUUGGCCCGCCCAGCCUGGGCCUGCGCCUAGCCUCCGGGUCCUCGUCCUCCUCCACCUGCGCCGCAGUCAUACCCUCCACCAGCGUGGCCACGCUGCAAACCGCGCCCUCCUACGCCAGCACCUCUUCCGCCACCAUUGCCAGAGCCGGCUCCUCAACCCCAGCCGUCGGUAGCGCGGCGGCAGCAGCAACGACCGCCCCCGGCACCGGCGGCGGGCCCAACAGCAGCGGCGCGCUGUCGAGUACUGUCAGCAGCAGCAGUGUGCUGGGCCCUCAGCGCAGCACGGCGGGCAGCAGCAGCCUUGGGCGGCCCUAUUUCCCAGGCCCUCGCCGCCAGCAGAGCUGGGGGCAAAGCGCCUGGACCACAGGGGCCGGCGGCGCCGGCGCCGGCGGUUUUACUGGUGGCUUCGGCGGCGGCGGCGGCGGCUGGAUGAUGGGGUCGACGCUGUCCAACGUUCAGCCCACCGCCGCCUUGCCGGGUGCGCCGAGUGGCACCGCCGACCGCACCAGCGGCGGCAGCACGCUGGGCACCUACGGUGGCGGCACCUGGACGCACGGCACCCGCACCCGCAGCACGUUUGACCGCAGCCACAGCGCGCUUGGCGCCUCGGGAGCAGGCCGCGGCUCGUGGGAGCUUGCGCCGCAGCCGUAUGGUGGAAUCGGCGUCGGCGUCGGGGCCGGGGUUAGGGUCGGAGUCGCGACCGUGUCGCCAUACGCGCUCAUGUGCGAGUCGCCUUUGGCGCCCGGCGGUCCCGGCGCCAUGAGUGCGGGUGCGGGUGCCAGCGCCGGCGCGGGUGGCAGUGGCACCGCGGACGGCACAGGCUCGCAGCGCUGGCUGCGUCAGCCGUUGUCGUACCACAUUGUGCCGCAGCCGCCGCUGCUGCGCCCGCCGGCCCCGCCGCCGCAGGCGCUGCUGCAGCAGCACAGUUACCAGCUGCAGCAACAGGCGCAGUACGGGCGACGCAGCGGCAGCGGCCGCAGCUGGGAUCCGCCGCUGCCGCAUUCGUCGUCCUCGGCGCGGCCCACGCCCAGUGGCAGCCUACUCAUGAGUCCAAGAGCGGCGGCGACCGGCGGCGGCAUGAGUGGCGGCGCGGCCGCUGCCGGCACGCGCACCGGCACCGGCACCGGCACAGGCGUGGACGGCAGUGGCUCGGCCUCGGUCUGGGCCGAUGCGGAGGUGCCGUUGGAGCUCCUGGACUGGCGGGCGGUGCAGGUGAGGGCGGGUGGGGCCCAGGCCCGUAGUAUUGGUCUUGGUCGUGGCGUGUGUGUUGUUAAAGAGCACAGUGUGUGUGUGUGUGUGUGUGUGUGUGUGUGUUAUUGUUGCGUGUGUCCGUGCGGUCUGUUUGUGGCAAUAAGCGCUUCCCUUUCAGGCAGAGGGAUAGCAAGCCAUGUACUUCCACCAACGUGCAUGCAUGGUUGCCAACCGUGGUCAUCCACCCUGCAGGAGAAAUUCAAGCGGGAGCUCAGUGUGGUGCGCCCGCCGCCGUUGGAGCCCCUGAGGACGACGGGCCCCGGGCAGCAUCACACCCAGCAACGGCAGGAUGGGCAAGGCGGCGGCAUGGGCACAGUGCGGAGCGUCCUGGGACCAGUCGGCGGCGCCACGAGCACUGCGGGUACUGCCACUGCCAGCGGCGAUGGCGGCGGCAGCGGUGCUGGGGGCCUGUCGCCGCUGACUUCCUUGGAGCCGCCUUUCACAUUGGGCGGGUUCAUGGCCAUGCCUUCCACCAGCAUGGACAGCGACCAGCGCACCUCGGCGUUCCUCAGCGCAGGCGGCGGCGGCGGCGGCGCGGGUGGCCCAGCCGCCUGCGGCAGCAACAGCAGCGGCAGCUUACGCCACUCCUCCUUCUGGAGCUCGCAGCUGUCGCACUCGCAGCUGCUCGCCUCCUCCUCGCACGUGCUGCAGCAACAGCAGCAGCAGCAGCAGCAGGCGUCCGCGUCUCUGCAGCAGCUGCCCGCGUCCCUCUUGGUCAUCGGCAACCUGCCGCUGCCACUGCAGGCCGGCGGCGGCGUGCUACUGCCAAUCCGAGAGGAGCGGCCCGCCUCAGCCUCUGCCGGCAGCAACAGCCGGGAGACCUCCGACAGCCGCACCCACAGCCACAGCCAUAUUUACCCGGCUAGUCUGGGCGGCGGCAGCCGCGGAAGUAGCACCAUGGGCCUCGUGGCUGCCUCCGCUGCCGUGGCGGCGGGUGCUACAGCAUCGGGCCAUUUUCCGUUGCGCCGCGGCGGGCGGCGCUACAGCGCCAGCGCGGCUGUAGUGGCGGGCGUUGCAGGCAGCGCCGGCGGUGGCAUUGGUGGUGGUGGUGGCGGCGGCGGUGGCGGCGGCGCAGUCGACAGCGGCGGCCUGACCAGCGGAGGCGGCGUGGGAAGUGCGGUGGAGGUAAUGAGCCUGGACGCGGAGGGAUUGCUGAUUGCUGCGCCGCUGCCAGGCGGCAGCGGCAGCCGUAGCAGGAGCGGCAGCGGCAGCCGCAGCAGGAGUGGCAGCGGCGCCGGGGGCACGGGCAGCAGCAGCCGCGGCUUUGGCAACAGCAGCGGCGCGAGUCACAUGAGUGGCAGUGGCGGCGUCGGUGUUCUCGGUGGCACUGUCCGGGACCCGCACCGCCGCGUGCUUGCCGUCACGCUCCAGCAGCAGCACAGCCAACAGCACCCCCCGGGCGAGCACGCCCACCGCACGCCGGCCGCCGGACACGCCGCACAACACUCGGAGGCACGCGCCGGUCCUAUCGCAGUGGCGGCGGCUGCGGUGCCUGCAGCAGCAGGGGCAGGGGCGCAGCAUGCUGGUCUGACCGGAGCGGAACGAGUGGACUCGGUGGCAAUGGCCCCAGCAGCAGUAGCAGUAGCGGCAGCGGCAACAACGGCGGGCCUGAACUCGGCGGCAGUCCCCGACUAUGACUUGCUCUUCGACCGGCUGCCGGCUUGGCUGGGACCGCUGCCGCCAGUGCAGGCGCAGCCUGUCAUUGCUACGACGGGCGGCGACAUUGCUAUUGCUGCGCCAGCGCCCAGCAUGAGUGUGCGCACAACAGCACCAGGGCCGCACGCAGGUACGGCGGCUGCAGCUGGUGUGUUGGAUGUCGCCGGGAGGCAGUCUCCGGCGGAUGCAAGCGAUGAGGAGCGCACACGCAAGAGAUGAUGGACCCGGGGCUGGUGGCCCUCAAGGAUGGGCCCUCACCUCACAAGCUAUUGUGGCAGCGGCAGUGCGCAGAUGUGUGCUGGGCAGAGUGUGCUUGGAGCAUGCGCAAAACCAGGAAUCCCUUAGGGCCUUAGGGCAUCGCUGUUGCGUUGUGGCGCACAUGCCGCGCCCGUGCCGCAGACGGCAUGUGCCAAGGGACCGGCUCACCGGCCUCAGCGGCGGCACCUUGUGAAGCAUGGGACCAUCUGGCCGACAGUCCCGAUAUGUGUGUUUGUGCGCGAGUGGGGGCGCAUACUUCACUUGCGCGAACGGAGUAGAGUAGGGCGACAUCGUGGACACUGUGGCCGUGCCCUCCGUCGUCAACACUUGUUGCUAUGACGCAAUCGACAGGCGUUUGCAUAUGGUAACUGUCUCGCACUCACGCAGCACAGUUGCAUGCAGGCGCAGCCACCCGUAGAUGCAAAUGCAGAUUUGAGGACUGAUGAUUUGAGUACUAAUGAUUUGAGACUGAUGAAUUUCUUGGAUUUCCUCCAGGGAUUCACCCAUGGGGUUUAUAACCUGACGCCUGGCUUUCUGCGCUUUCCAUCGGGGAGGCCACUCACUACAGCGCAGGGGUGAAACGUGCCCAACUCCGAGACCAGGAGAAGAUGAAACGACCGCGGAAAUGUACUGAUGAUUUAUGAGGUGAACUAACGAGAUUUAUAAAUAUUAUUAACACGAUUCUAGCGCGCCGCUGCGCGGCAUGCUGACGGGGUCGCGCCAACGACUGGCACGGUUGAGGCAACGCGUUGGGUGCUUGUUGUGAGAGGUUCUGGGGCAUGGGCUAUUUACGGUCGUCGCAUUGUUGCGGUUUCGACAAGCACAUCCAUGUUUGUGACCGCCAAUAAGUACAGGGCCACGAAUUGGGUGAGUAUCCGUCGACGAGGCGAGGCCGCUUCGGCGGCCGAUAGCCCCCAUACACCCGCCACCGACACAAAGUGUCGAAACGCUUAGGGCAAAGGCGGCCCUGUCGCUGGAUGGUGGCUGGCCGCUCUUUGCGGGUGGGUUGCGGCGCCUGGACGAGGGCGGGCUCGAGGGCCCCGCUAACUCCGAGAGGAGAAUUGGAAAAGGCCGCGGUGUCUGUGAACUGCGAACUAAAUGUAUUGGUAAUGCAUGGGCGAUGGCGUGUGCUUAGGCGUGUGCUUUUGCUUGCCAACGUCCCUACACAAGACACACUGCAAAGCGCACCCGACCUGGCGCGGGGGUAUUUGCUUGCCACGGCGGUUGGAAACCUGCGCUGCGCAAAUAAAGAGCCUGUGGUCGAUGUGUCGCAGACAGCUGCGGCGCUGUGAAUGCAGCAUUCCCGGAUUGACGAUGUUUUCUAUUGCACCGGCACGAUGCAUUCUAGUCAAGAAAGCAGAUGUUUCCUUGACGGUAUGCACGUGCAUGCAUACGAUUGCCCGCGGCAAGCACGCGGUUGUUUACAUGCGGGGAGGGGUGUGUGCCAGACGACGAUGUGGUCGUCCCACCACACGCUUCAUGUUCACAAUCACAGUGCGCUAGUGAUGGCUCUGUGGUGUGAUGGCGAAUGUGGCGUGCAUCAAGGGCACACUGCGCACUGUUUGGCGCGCUGUGCGCUCGAGGUCUGUCCACAUUGCGAGCAGGGGUUGCGGGGAUUCUGACUUGCACGGCCUGUUGUUGUUGACUCUACGCCCUGCAUAAUGUUCUGGAAGGGAGUAUUGUUUUGGGCGGGAAUAUGGCUUUCGAGGUGUCUAGAGGGUUGAACUGUAAACUUGGGCGUCCGCAGCAGUGUUGCAGAAUUCAAUCAUAGCCUGCGCUUCACGCAGUAAUCAAGCAGAACGGAAUAGAUCUGGCCUGAUCCUUUUAGCUUGUAGCAGUAAGCCGGGGUGCUGGGGUGCUGGUGACAACAGGCAUCGCAGAACGCGCACGAUGUGCCGUCUGCCAGCAACACAUGCUUCAUAAUUGACGACUAUUCCGCUUGCCGUUUGGGGCAUCUUCAGCAUCUUGGGGUGAAAUUCAGGUGCAAUGAUGCGGUGCAGAUUGUGGGUUGGCGCAAGUUGUUACGCUGCAUUGGCAGCAGGCAACAGGCUGCACAUCUGCUCCAGAUGAUGGCACUGGAGCCGCGAUAGGGUUGUGUGCGUGUUCCCCUGCAGCAGGCCUGGGGUGAAGGGAUCAGCGAAUCACACAUGUAAAGCAAUGCGGUAUGAGAGGGGUAUGAGAGGGUGUGAGAGGGGUAUGAGAGGUACAGGUGUGUGGUUCAUUUGUCCCACAGGGAAUGAAGGAAGCCUGAGCUGGGGGCUCUUUGUACUGAGGUGGUUAUGGGGCGUGCAUGUGUGGCAGCCGUGGUUAUUGCGACCACUGGGCUAGGCUAAGUGCAGGGGCUGGGGCGGGCCGCAGGAGCAGGUUUGGGAGGAGGUUGUAUUGCGCGUCAGGAAUUCCAGAAGAAAUCCAAAUUUGUUUCAUAGCACGCGCGUUUCAUGAUGUGCGUACCCGGGCUUGGGGGAUACUUUUGGGCCUGAGGGUUGUACCUUCCGCUUCUCAGGAGUUAAUAAAGCAACUACCAUACGCACGGCAUUUGCGAGUCCAAUAAACGUGGACGCUGUUUGAACGGCCCUCCGUAGGGGGGACAUCCCGUGAUGGCGGGCUAGUGACGAGGCUGACUUGGCUGCAUGCCUCGUAUCCAGCAAAUGAAUAUGAGUAUAUAUACCGAAGUGUCGGUGAAGCUGUUUCAUAAGUAUCCAAACAUGCACAUUUGAAGUGGAGUUCCGGGUUGACAGUGGUUGAGGCGACAUGCUGCGCGGCUUCCUGGGACCACGGCAGUUGCCUGACGUGCGUGAGGCCGCAUGUCCGGAAGAUGACCCGGGGCACUACUGCCACUCUAUAAGAGCGUUGUGCUUUUUGGGCUGAGUGUUUGGCAUGUGGUAGGGAGGGGGGGUGCCCCUUACUUGGUGCCGUUCACCACGGUUCACCACGGUGCGGAGAGUGAGCCGCCGGGUGCGGUUAGGGCUUAGGGCCGGAGUGCCGGACGCCUGACACGUGCCACCCCAAAGAGUCCUAACGGGCACCGUCAUUUCGCUGAGUGUGGUGUUCGCUGCACCCGGUCCAGGAUAACUGUUUUAGUUUGUUUUGGGCGGAUUUGUGCCGUACUCCCAGCGGGCCAGUGCUGCGAGGAGACGGCGUACUUGAACGGGGGAAUUCCUGACUCAUCGCCUCCGUCGAGGCGUCAUUAGGUAAAAAUAUUACGGUCGGUGUACACUGGCCUGCGGCCCUUAAUGAAGCGUACUUGCGUGUAAGUGUGUAACACAGGCAUGUGCCGUGCUCCGGUCCUCCGAAGUUGGAUGCGCGUACCGCACACAGCAGAGUCCGGUACUGGGGGGUCCGGGGUUGACUAGAUCGCCCUUCCCCCCGCCACCCCCCCUACGACCGGCAACUGGCCCGACGUGACCGCCCAGUGUGCUGCAGCCUGCGCUCUUACAGCCUCAGUCCCUUACGCCCCAGUCGCCGUCAAGUGCGCCUGGUACGUGCCGAGCGCUCAAGUCCUACUUCCAUGCAGAUCUCAUGUCAAGAUUCGCCUGCGAGGCGCCCCGCUGAAGUCAGCCGUGUGCUCAGCCGCAGCCAGUGAGCUCUUAUUUUCAAACGUGUGUAAAGAGAGGCAGUCGGCUCGUCGCUUACGGAAAGCCGCUUGUUGCACUUUUGCAAGCGCGAGACUUUGGCGACUCACUAGACAGGUCUUCCAUCCAUUUUAAUAGUCACAAUACCUCUCCGGGUAUUAUUUAUCCGUCGCAAGUAGGUCAGGAUGCUGUUGUCCGGGCGCUGCAAGCGUGGCCCGUCUCGAUGUGUUCGCGCCGGGGCCUCCUCUGGUUCGAAUCCUCUCAUUCCUCGGCAUGGACAGCCACAGCUAUCAAGCAUGGGACCGUCGCGGCAACAGCUUGCCUCAGCGCCAAAUGCGGCUUUUGCAGAGCUCGAAGCGCUGCCCGCAGAUGAACCAGCUGCUCCGGCUGCGGUUUCCAAAUGCCCAGUCACACAAAUGAAGAGCGCACUUAGCGCAUUUGUGCGUGACUCUGGAGACCAAGUUGCCGAAACCGGAGCGCCAACCGCAACGCGACCAAUUCCUGGGCCAGCACCGCUCAGUCUGGAAGCACUGAAGGUAUAAUACGCAUGCGAGGACGCUGUGUGAGCGUGUUCUUGGACGACGUUGGCCACCGCCUGAGUCACGAUGGACUCCCGCUGGUUCGCGCCCCAAUCUCGGACAGGACGUGAGCGUCAUCUUCUUCGAGGGCUUGCACGUGGCACAGCUCAAAUUCAGCGAGAAGUACGGGCCCGUCUGCCGGUGAGGCUCGCCGCGGCCCGCGCAUCGCUACCCGCUGCGAUCCUCCGACACAUCCGCAACACCCCGUCUCGCCACCCAAGAUAGACCCCGCCAAAGCGCCGGCCGCCAUCGCACGCCUUGACAAACAUUCCGCUUUCCCGCCCUGGUCCCGGUCCCUGCAACCAAUUACCCUUGCAGCUUCGCCAACCCCGCCUCGCUCAACGGCGCCACCAGCUGGGUGUUCAUCAACAGCCCAGAGAACAUCCAGCACGUGUGUGCGACCAACGUGCGCAACUACAGCCGCCGCUACCUCCCCGACAUCUACACGUGAGUCCCAGUAGUUCCGUGCAGGCGAGAUCCAGGGAGAUCCAGCAUGCCGUACUGGGCGCUGGCAGCGGGGCUAUAUGGGAGGGGAGGCGAGGAAGGCCGAAGGGUGCUUAUUGCACUGCUGCCGUGCAUGGGCCCGUGGUAUGGUUCGGGGAGGGGGGGGGGUGCGGGGCAGUGCGGGUGCGGGGUGUGCUGCACGUGGCAGCAUGCGAUGUGUAUGAGGGCUGUGUACGCAUGAGGCUGGGCCACCACAGUACCACACUACCACCGCAUGUGUGUAUGUUCCCUGGUGCCCAUGCAUUGAGCGGUCCGUGUGUGCAUGCAUGCGGGUCUUGUGAUUGUGGCCUUAUGCGUGCCUGCAGGUAUGUGACGCACGGCAAGGGCAUCCUGGGCUCGCAGGUGCGUGCGGUGCACCCGCCGGAUCCAAAAUGCAGCAGCAAUACGGUACUGGAGCCGCGUGCCAGCCGUCAUGCUGCCGUGUCGUGUUUUGCCGAAGUUUCGGUGCGUUGGAGGACGGUCCGGCCGAUGCACGUCCCACUGAGCCAAUCAAACGCAGGCAAUGACCGCACACCUGAACACACGUACGUAACCAACCUCACAGGACGAGUACAAUGCGCGGCACCGGAGGCUGUGCUCGGGCCCCUUCCGCAACAAGUGGCAGCUGCAGCGCUUCUCAUCCGUGGUUGUGGAGCGGUGAGGCCGGGCGGCUGCCGGCGUGUGUGUGGGGUGGGGGUAAGCGGGUACGGAUACGGUGGUGUCGUGCUUGGGUUACGGGCGGAUGUGGUCGUGCGUGGUCCCUGCUAGGGCGCAGCAGCAUGCACCGCAUGCCGUUUGUGAGGGGUGGGAAGAAAUGAAUACAGCAGGAUCAGGGGGCAGCGCGGGAUGCUUCUGGCACCUUCUGGGGCCAGCGCACAGUGCGCAGGCGUGUACCGGCCAGGCAUACAUCCCGAACAAAUCAACACGACCCGGCUCGGUUAUCUCCGCCACGGCUGGCUACGUGACCGCCGUCGUUCUUCACCACCUGCCGCACACAAUGCAAUGCAACACGGCACACUACACCACAUGACAGUCCAUGGCCUCCUCUCCCUACCUCUCCCAUACAAUGCAACGCGACACGCCGCACGCGCAGGUCCAAGCGGCUGGUCGACAUCUUCAGUGCCGCCGCCGCCGCCGACCCGUCCGGCGCCUUCACCACCGACGUGGCCACCCAGACGCAGCGGCUGACUCUGGACGUGGUGGGGCUGGUGGCGUUCAGUCACGACUUUGCGUGCGUGGAGCAGGUGCAGCGGUGAGAGGGCUGAUGAGAGAGCGUGUGUGUGUAUGCGUGGGAGAGUGUAUGUGUGAAUGUGCCAGCGUGUGUGGCCGCGUGUGUGCCUGUGUGUGACUCGCACACAUGGCAGGCUGGGGGCUGUUGGCUGGAGGUUUGAGGCUUGAGGCUUGAGGCUGGGGGCUGGAGGUUGGAGGCGCGAGGCUGGGGGCUUGGGGCUGCGGGUUGGCGGGUACAUCCUGCACGGCUCAGAGGCGGGUCAGCACGCAGGCCUUCUCUAUGCUUUCGCGUCACCAGUCACCGCCAAACCAGCUCACCCUCACCUGUCCACAAACAGCCACAGCUCCAUGAUGAUGGAGCGGCGGCACUCGUUCUUCCAUUGUGUUGGGGUGGCGGCACUCGGUCCUCCCCAUUCGUCUCUACCGUAUUCGUCUCUAUUCAUACAUGUGUCACAUCGGUUCGUCUCUACUCGUCCCCUCUAAGUACAUCACAUCUGGUCCACUGCCCGGCCGCCGCGCAGGGACCUGGCGGGCGCCACCGCGGGCGACGGGCGCAGCGGCGUGCUGCAGGACCGCGUGCUGUGGGCCGUCAACACCUUUGGCGAGGUGCUGGCGCAGGUCUUCAUCACGCCGCUGCCGCUGCUCAAGGUGGGCGGGUUGGUGGGGGCGGGGGUGGUGAGGGCGGGGGUGGUGAGGGUUUAAGCCACCAGUCGGGACAGGGCACAAGGGCGGAGAAAGGCAGCGGUUCUACGUCGCCACCACGCAAUCUUGACAUGCACGGAUAGCCGCCUCCUCCCGCGUCCCUCGCCCUCACCCUCCCUCACCCUCCCUCACCCUCCCUCACCAUCCCUCACCAUCGCUCACCACCCCUCACCCGCCCACACCUCUUACACAGGCCAUGGACCGGCUGGGUGCGCCCCACCUGCGGCAGCUGGGCGAGGCGGUGUCCGUCAUGCGGGCGGCCAUGCUGGACGUGAUCGCGGUGGGAGGGGGGGCAGCAGCAGUGGUGGCAGGAGGGAGGCGGAAGGAGGGAGGGCGAGGGAUGGGCGGAGGGGGAGGAAGGGAGGGAGGAGGGAACCAAUCAUCAGUGGAGGGAGGAGAGGGAGGGUCAGGGUCGUGCAGAUUACACCGCGGGGGCUUCCAGGGGCGUGCCAAGAUUGUGUAUCGUGCCGCGCUGCUUGUGGGUCACCCACCACCUGCCCCAUCUGCCAGCCUACCGACACGCCCUAUACCUAGCCCAGGCACAACGUCUCGUCAGUCGCACCCCCUGCGAUGGGUUGCGCCCACGACCUCACACGCUGUCGUUGUCGCUGCCGUGGUGCCAUGCUGUACUGCAGGAGCGGCGUGCCUCGCUGGCCGCGGGCGGGCGGGGCCGUGACGACCUGCUGCAGGCGCUGCUCACGGUGGGAGAGGGGGGAGGUGUGGGGGCGGCCGUGUGUGCGUGCGCGGCCGUGGGGUCGACCGUGCAUAUGCGCGUGUGCAUGUGCGUGUUGUGCGUGCGUGCGUGCGUGCGUGCGGAGCGGUUGUUUUUGCGGUUGUGUUGUCGGUUGCGGGUGCUGGGGUGGACGAGUGCUCCAAAGUUUCGCUGUUUUCCUGUGUGCUCUCCCAGCAAAGAUAUGCACGUGUGUUCCGAUUCCGCGCGGUUCCUCCCUCUCCCUCACGCACAGGACCGCACACGCAUACACAUUUACGCACGUUGACGCAUAUGUUCACAUGCACGCUGCCACAUACACGCACACACACACACACACACACACACACACACACACACACACACACACACACACACACACACACACACACGCACAGGCCACGGAGGAUGACGGCCGGGGCCUGAGCGAUGAGGAGCUGUGGGAGGACGUGCACGACAUCAUGGGGGCGGGGCACGAGACCACCGCCACCACCACCGCCGCGCUGCUGUACUGCAUCAGCGCCCACCCGCAUGUGCGCCAGCGGCUGGAGGAGGAGCUGGAUGCCGUGCUGGCGGGUGGGGUGUGGGCGGGGAGCGGGUGGGCGGGCCGGCAGGGGAGUGCACAAGGAGGGGGCGGGGGGGGGGGGUGCCUGAGAACGGUACGUGCGACGCGACGGACCCAGUGUCAUCCUGCCGCUUCCCACCCACCCCCCGGCUUCGUCAGCUCCGCUGCGCUGCUUAUCCUCCUGGCUCCCCCCCCAGCAACGCACCCACCCUGACUCCACUAUGUUCGUGUGUGCGUGUGUGUGUGUGUGUGUGUGUGUGUGUGUGUGUGUGUGUGUGUAUGGGCACGCAGACGGCGAGGCGCCCACCUACGAGUCGCUGGAGCGCAUGCCCUACCUGCAGGUGGGUGGGGCCGCGUGCCGGGGCGGGUGCGGAUGCGGCUACGGGUGCGCGGGGGUGGGCUGCCGGGGUCUGAUGCGGGGCAGAGGGGGACGGGGCAGACCGCUGCGGGCGCGCCUGCAGGUGCAGCUGACGGUUCGGGUGCGGGUGCGGGGUCGGUGAAGGUCUGCUGUGUGCUGUAAUACCAACUGCUGAGCGCACCCGUGCCGACCUGCGAGCCCGCAUGCCUGCGUGCGCCCUUGCGCUGUUGCCUGGGCCGCUGUUGUCUGUUCCCAAUCGCAUGGAGCGCGCAAUCUCUGCCUCUCUCUGCCAACGCCAACGCCAACGUACUUGCACACACGCCCCCCCCCCAUUCAUGUUCCGCACGAUGGUCCACCGUCUACCACUUCCUUAAGUAAUUUUGAAUGUAACCCCCCCGCCCACAGGCCUGUGCCAAGGAGGUGAUGCGCCUGUACCCGGCCAUCCCCGUGUUCCCGCGCGAGGCCGCCCGGCCCGACGUGCUGCCCACCGGCCACGGCGUGGCGGCGGGCGACGUCGUGUUCAUGAGCAGCUACGCGCUGGGGCGCAGCGAGGCGGUGUGGGGGCCGGACGUGCUGGAGUUUGACCCGGACAGGUGAGGUCAGGGGAGGAGAGGAAGUGUGGGGUGGGGAGGGGAGCACGGGAGGUGAGUUAGGAAGGCGUGCGUGCGUGGCCUUGGGUGGUGCAUGCGAUGCCCCGGUGGGGGUGGGGGGAUGCGCGAUGGACUGAACGCACCGGGCGCACUUGGCCGGCCGUCGGUCCCUCUCUUGCCUUGUUGACGCACAACACACACACACACACACACAUACACACACACACAUACACACACACACACACACACACACACACACACACGC